UUGUUUCUCCGUGGCUUCUCUUCUCCUCCAGUGAGAAUCUUCCUCCUCCCACCCCUCAGACUAACAAAGUCUCACCUGUGGUUCUGAGGCUGCAGCUGGACUCUGCUGGUUUGGGUCUGAGCGUCUCUGAAGUUGCGAUGUGAAUCACCCAUCCCUCCGUCGAGGACCUGUCCAUGGUGCUGAACCUGCUGAAGUGACUUGAAGAUCCUGCAGCAGCAGUGGAGCUGCCGUCCCACUGAGUCAGA